rnacentral:rRNA from 1 species
AUUGAGCGCUGGCGGCAGGCCUAACACAUGCAAGUCGAACGGUAACAGGAAGCAGCUUGCUGCUUCGCUGACGAGUGGCGGACGGGUGAGUAAUGUCUGGGAAGCUGCCUGAUGGAGGGGGAUAACUACUGGAAACGGUAGCUAAUACCGCAUAAUGUCGCAAGACCAAAGAGGGGGACCUUCGGGUCUCUUGCCAUCGGAUGUGCCCAGAUGGGAUUAGCUUGUUGGUGGGGUAACGGCUCACCAAGGCGACGAUCCCUAGCUGGUCUGAGAGGAUGACCAGCCACACUGGAACUGAGACACGGUCCAGACUCCUACGGGAGGCAGCAGUGGGGAAUAUUGCACAAUGGGCGCAAGCCUGAUGCAGCCAUGCCGCGUGUAUGAAGAAGGCCUUCGGGUUGUAAAGUACUUUCAGCGGGGAGGAAGGGAGUAAAGUUAAUACCUUUGCUCAUUGACGUUACCCGCAGAAGAAGCACCGGCUAACUCCGUG